CGGAGGGUGCAAGCGUUAUCCGGAUUCACUGGGUUUAAAGGGUGCGUAGGUGGGCUAGUAAGUCCGUGGUGAAAUCUCCAAGCUUAACUUGGAAACUGCCGUGGAUACUAUUAGUCUUGAAUCUCGUGGAGGUAAGCGGAAUAUGUCAUGUAGCGGUGAAAUGCUUAGAUAUGACAUAGAACACCGAUAGCGAAGGCAGCUUGCUACACGAGUAUUGACACUGAGGCACGAAAGCGUGGGGAUCAAACAGGAUUAGAUACCCUGGUAGUCCACGCCCUAAACGAUGGAUACUCGACAUACGCGAUACACAGUGUGUGUCUGAGCGAAAGCAUUAAGUAUCCCACCUGGGAAGUACGACCGCAAGGUUG
rnacentral:rRNA from 1 species